GCUCCAGUGGCCCAGUGGUUAGAGUGUCCGCCUUGUAUGCAGGAGGUCGUUGGUUUGAUCCAUGGUCGAGUCA